rnacentral:sRNA from 1 species
GCUGGGCAUGGUGGUACAUGCCUGUAAUCCCAGUGGCUUGGGAAGCUAAGGCAGGAGGAUUGCGAGUUCAAAGCCUGCUUCAGUAAAAUCGAGGUGCUAGCAACUCUGUGAGACCCUGUCUCCA